AGUACUUCUCUGAAGUAAAUGAAUAUUUGAUAAAAACAAUUUUAGUUCUGAGAGUGGGCAUCAAAAAACUCAGUGGAAGCUCUCGGAAUUUGCUAGACUAAAUUACCUUACACCAAACAAUUUCUUGGGUCAGGAAUUCCCAGAAAACCGUUUCGUGCGUUGAACGUUAUUUUCCUUCCUUAGUUACAGUCAAGAAACGGACGACACGGGAUUUUAAACAUCGUCCGCAAAAAUACUGUCAAUAAAUUACAGAAUAAUAAUGGAGAAAACAUUAAAAAUUGAAGGCAUUGACUGUCAUUUGCGUACCAGAGCGCGACCCAUAAGGUGGCCAGAGACCUGGUGUUUUCGCACGGGUGAAAGUAACGUGAUUGCUUAUCUGGAUACCAACAAUGUGCAGAAAUACGGAAACUGCGGUGAGUCCUUCUGAAGGUCUCCAUUGAAUCCCGAAGUUUGCAUACUCCUAUCUCCACCGUAUGCACGAGGAAAAAGCUCCCGGACUCAAGAUUGAACUAACAACAGGACUACGACUCAGAAGACGAGGAUGAUCCAGUGAUAAUAUCCCCAGAUAUCAGCACAGGUCGAAUCGAAAUCAUCGAACUGGACCACUGGCAUUCACAGGUUCAAUCACACGAGGACCUGGCCGCUGAACAAACAUCCAACCUUUACUCCCAACGAGAGAGGCGGCCAAGAAACCUCUCAGGCUCGGAAGAGGAAUCACCUCGAAGUGGAGAACCCAGUUCAAAUCCUUCACGUGUGUAAACAUCGAGCCGUCAUCUUCAAAUGUAGAAAAUAUUUUCUUUUCAUGAUUACAAUAGACGGCACCGAAGAUGAGAUAAAUCCAAAAAAGAUCUUGGAAAUCGUUCGGAAGCUCACCAUCAAUUUAUUGAUCCCAAAGACAAUAUAUCCCACCCAUUUAAGGGGUUAUUCUCAUGUGAGCACUUCAAAAAAUCGAUUUUUUUUUUUUUUGAUAUUUUGACAGUAAAACCUAUUGAAAACAUGCUGUGAAAAAUUCAGACCGAAAUCCAUAGUAUUUGAUAAGCUACAGCUCAUAGUCGCCGACGUGUCGUAAGCGAUUGUCUACCAGGCUUUCAACUUUAAACGCGUUUUUCUCGAAUCAUCAUUUUCUGAAACGGUCAAGGUCCUACAAGAAAAAGUAUUCAACCGAUUGCUUUAAAAUUUACAUAUGUUCUUCUACUCAUUUAUAGUUAUCGUCCCUACCACAAUUGUUUAUUUUUGACAAUAUCUUCAUAUUUUUUUUAAACGAUUUGUAACGAAAAAGAACGAGAUUUUCGUGAUUUUUUUUUGUUUUUAAUGAAAUUGAUUAUAUUUGGUAGGGACGAUAGCCACAGAUCUACUGAAUAAUAAUCCAUUCGAUUUUUUUAUGUCAGACAACAUGAACAGCCGCUAUCACCUUGACCAGUGAACUACCUUUUUUUGUUGGGGACUACUUUGACUUAAAAAAAAUAUAUAUUAAAAAUGUAAAAACCGAAAAAAAAAAUUUUUUUCGUAUAUUUCAAAAUACAAAUAAAAAUAUAUUGAAAAAUCAACAUGAUUGAAGUUUGUUGUCGCAUAAAAAAAAAUUCCGAAAAAGUGGUAAAAUAUAGGCGUUCACAUGAGAAUAACCCCUUAACGUCUGCUGACGUCUACUUCUGUAAAAUGCCUUAUCCCACCAAAGUUAUAUGAGAAUUAUUGUUUAUUGGAGUAUUUACCUAUAUUCUUACAAUUAUUUUUACUAAGAAUAACUAUUACCGAAAUGAGUUGAUGUGGAGCCUCCAGGAAGUCCUGACUCAGUUUACGUAAAUAUAAACAAUGGCUCGAUAGAAAGAAAGAACAGAGUUAUUUCAUUAGGCGAAGAAUAAACUUUUGGUCUUUGUGACCAGUCUUAAGUCUCCAAGAGAGUUUUUUCCUCGUGUCAAUUAUAAAAUAAAGAAAUUAUAAUAGUAAAUCCACUGCAUUUUAUAUUUAGCAUAAGAAUCACCAAUUCAUCAUCAUUCAGAAGUAUUAUCACCAUGAAUCCACUUUAAAAUUAAUUUAUCGAAUAAAUAUUUAUUGAGAGUGCUUGAUAUGUGUGGACAAAAGUGAAUCAUCUGUCUAUAGCUGUUUUCAGUCCAUCUCAGUAUGUUAUAGUUUUUAUAAUUUUUCUCCAAACAGCACCGAAAUGUGUAGAAUUGUUUCAAUAAAUAGAACCAGAGAAGAAGCAGAAACGAAUUAAUGAACAAGGGCCUUUUGUCAAAUGGGUCUAGAGUGUCAAAUGUUUGGUCACUAAGAGUCAGUUGAUCUGUCUGGAGACAUCAUACCAGAAAGAUAUACCUUCUGCGUGCGAUAAUAAUAAAUAAUUAAAGUUAAUAGUUAAAUCAUUUUUAUAUUAUUGAGACAAUCCCUAUGGAUAAUCCAAUAAUAUUAGUUUUCUAUCUAAUAAAAUUCUGGUACGGUUGUUGGAAUAUUUGAGUACAGUACUUUCGUUGUUCCACUAAAAUCACUCGACACCUCCUUUUGUUUCUCUGGGAAACAGCUCUCCUAAGGGACUAAUUUGUGAUCGGUUGUACUCCGCUUUCGAGACGGCUUAAUCCAAAACAUAUGCUGAAUGGUUAUUUGAGUCGUAAAAACUGUUUUCCUUUUUAUAUAUCUUUCAGUCUCUGGACAGCGGUCCUCUGGUUAAGACGUGCCUUCCUCGUGCAAAUAAAAUAAUAUUCAAAAGUAUUUCACUGUGCCUAAAUAAUUUAAUCAUUUACACCCAUAUUCCAAUAACGGCAAUCUCGUGGAUACAUCCGGACGACAAUUGAACGACAGAACCAGAAAAGCAUUAAACAUGUUUUUCCUCUCCGCAGGGAGGUGACGUUAACUACGCGCUGGUUAUAGUCAUGCACUUAAUUAAAAAAAUAAAAAUAACGAUCAAGGAUUGUGACUCGAGUUUGCGUGAGGAUUACCUUAACCGAAGUGACAUCACCACUUGACCAUCGCUGACAGCGUCAUGUCGUGCUCUGGGGAUCCAAAGGACAAUCCUCAAAUGACAUGAGAAGUGGUAUAAACAAGUCACGUUAACUUGGAGUCGAAUUGCCAUUCAAAACAAACCGGUGAUCGACAUUAUGCGACAGAAGUGAUGUGACCGAUACUUUAGGCGUUAUUAUUUUUUCCUUCAUUUCUACCAAUUCGAUUGAUAUUAUGCUUCUGAAUGGAGCCUCAGCCAUUCGAUUUCAAAAAUGAAAAGGUAGAUUCGCGAUGUGAGGUAGUUCUGGUACUGGCAUUCGCCAGAGGAUUUAGAAAGAUAUAUCCAAUCUAUUAGUAACAUGAACUUCAACAAAACAAUAAAUUUUGUAACAACCAGCCGACGAACUGCGUCCAUCCGACGUCUGUUUUUUCAUAUGAUAUUUUCAUAUCGUAAAAGCUAUGAUCAUAACAAAUUUUGAACUGCUAUUCCAAUUUUUCACCAAAUUAUUGAAUGGAGAACACUGAAAAUAUAAAAAAACGUAAAAAUGGGAAUAUCUCACGAUUUUUGUAUGAGAGCAAAUGCAUAUUUUCAUAACUUUGUAUGAUGCCCACUGAGACCAGUAAUUUGAAAAUAAAAAUUGAAAUCUGUUGAGUAGUUCAUGAAAUAUUCAAGGGAUUACAUCCAUGCAAAAGGAAGCGCCUGGAUGAUUGAGCCCAUCCAAAAUAACAGCAUUUUAUGUUUUGAAAUUGUGGUACUGGCAUUCACGAGGGAUUUAGAAUGAUAUAUUUAAUCUAUUAGUAACAUGAACUUCAGCAAAACAAUAAAUUUUGUAACAACCAGCCAACGGAUUGCGUCCAUCCGAGGUCUGAUUUUUUCAUAUCAUUUUUUCAUAUCGUAACAGCUAUGAUCAUAACAAAUUUUGAACUGCUAUUCCAAUUUUUCACCAAAUUAUUGAGUACAGAAUACUAAAAUUAUUUAAAAAACGAACAUUUCGAUUUGUAGCGACGGGUAUACAUGUUCUUAUAGCUUUGUAGGUCGCCCACUGAGACGAGUAUUUUGAUAAAAAAUUGAAAACAGUUGAGUGGUUCAUGGAACAUUCAAGGAAAUAUAUUCACACAAAAGGUAUAAUAUCUCUGGAAGCAUCUAGCCGAUUGCGUCCAUCCAAACUAGCAGCCUCCUCUGUUUUCAGAGCUACAAGUGUACAAAAUUUGUACUAUCUCUAUUUUUUGUUAGUUUAUGAUGUUUACAUCGUUAUGAAGAUAAAAACUAAAAAUGGCGUUGUCGCUAAAAUUUACCCGAAAAAAUAUUGAUAUUUUGGUCGGUAUAGAUAGGGCCCACUGAGAUGAGCAUUUUGACGAAAGAAUUGAAAUCCUGGCAGUAUUUUUUGAAAUAUUGAGGAACAAUUAAAUUGACAAAAGUUAAUAUAUCUCAGGAACUACUGGACCAAUCGAGCUGAAACGCCCCAUCAAAAUAGCGAUUAAUAAUGGCUAUAAGCUGAAAAUUCAGAUUUUUAGUUACAAAUUAGACCGUAUUUUGUCCCAAUUUUCUCAAAAUUAAUCUUCAAAAUGGUAUAUAUUUAUACCAUUUAUACCAGACUUGGUAUAAAAAUAUUGUUUUUUCGUGUUGUAUAACAUUCUCGAUAAUUUGAAAUUCUUGGGCCGUAUCAAGUAACAAAACGUAAAAUUUCCUUUCUUCAUGGAAAUUCGAAUUUUUCAGUGUUUCGUAAUAACUGGUUGUCUCACGGUAAUUAAAAAUGAGUAUUAAACAAAUAGAAUGAUUGUUUAAAAUAAUUGCUUUAAGAUUUUAUAGUCCGGGUUUGAAGAUAAAAGUGAUAAUUUCAACCGUAGGGUCCAUUAAAAAAAAUCCCCUUCUAAAAUCUUCCCCGACCUUUCACUCUACCAAUUUUUUCCCUGACAUUUCUUCCCGGUGCCAUUUCUUCCCUGUUCCGUUCCCCUGGCCCAGACAUUUAUUCCCUGACAUAUAACCUUGAAACGGCUUUAAACGUAAAUGAAGAAAAACUGCAGUCCAUAAUUAUGUUUAAUUAAAUCAGUCAGACCAAACCACAAUUUAAAUUACGAAUUUCACGUGGAAGACGAGUAAUUGAUAUGGUGUUCUACGUAUUGUGACGUCACAGAAAAUUAUUGAAGAGGAUUUAGAAUUAGGUAGAAAGGGAACCAGAAUUAAUCUGGAUAUAAUUUUGCAAGAAAAUUCUACUGAAAAAACCGCUUGUCAAGGCAGGAAAAAGUGUCAGGGGAACCAAUUAUCUCGCGGAAAAUUUGGGAAGGGAAAAAUGUCGGGGAAAAUAAGACGUGUUAUGGAAAUAUUGCAAUAAUAAAUCGAAAAUCAGUGAAAAAUUUGAAGUUGACAGGUUCAUUUCUCCUAAAAUAACAGCGCGUACAAGAUUUUUUUGUCAAAAACCAAAAAAUUGGAGUAUCUCGAAAACAUUGUAUGGAGACAUUUUGUGAUUGAUUGAGAUAGACGACAUGGAGACAAACUCUCCAGAAAAAUUUGAAUCGGCUGGAUAGUUUCGGAUAUAUUUUCGAAAAAGAAUUCAGAAAUAAACGUCGGGCCACGAGUGGAAAUCAUGUCAGGCGAACCUGAGGUUAGAUCAGAACUUGAUCUGGUGGUGCCCAGGUUCAACUGAUCAGGCGAGACUUGAUGAAGAACUGAUUAGUUUUUGAUUUACUCCAUCUGAUGGGAAUUACUCUGACCAGGUUCUGAUACGGCGAGCUUGAUCUGAACCCGAGGUCCGUUCACCUGUAAUCACCUUGAUCUAGUUCGGAUGUGAUGGGCCUGAUCUUAUACUGAAGUCCGUCUGCUUGCGAUUAUUCAGAUCAGAUUCUGAUCAGUUCAACUUGGGCGGAAAUCGAGCAUUGUGGUUACAAUUGUCAUCUGCUAGGCAGAGUACCGAGGAUAAAUGUCUAUGUACAAAAAAAAACGGGGAGAAACGCCUAGCGCGUGAACGGCGAGUGGUGCAUACGGGUUGACCGCUUGCUCGGGCCACACCGACUUAUCCGAGGAAAAGAGAAAAAAUGGGGAAUUUCUCUACUCAAUAAAUUCAGUUUCAGAAAAAACUCUCUUUGUCAAAAUUCCCCCGAAGAUGCCCAUCUCAUCUGUGCCUAGCUAAAGGUGUCAAUAAUGAAAAAAUGGUUAAAAGAUGGCAUGCACAUUACUAUGAACAUGUUGCGACGCAACACCCACCGUGCAGUAUAGUCCGAGCGUUCAUUCGAUCAAAUCCGUAUCUGUUUGACGGGAUUAACUUCUGAUCAAGUUCCGAUUAUCUAGCCUCAUCAAAUUCUGAUCAGUUGGGCCUGAUUAAAUUCACGUUUGGUCAUAUUUAUCAAGUUCGGAUCAGAUCCGAUUGAUCAAGUCCGUAACGAAUGAAGUCGUUAUAUGCCUGAUCAAGUUCUGAUCCAGUCCUCGGAUCAGUAACUGAUUAUACAUGAGGUCUGACUUGAUCCGAACUUGAUGCAGACCUGAGUUAAAUUUCCACUCGGAACAUUCCGUGAUUCUGUCUCAACCUAAACAACGAUAUAUCAACACUUUCAGGAGUAUUACAACGACUCUAGAUUCUGGUUAAUAAUUCAAUUUUUUCUUGUUGAAUUCAAGAAAUUCAAAAGUAGAGCCACACGCAAAUUCAUUGGAAACACAGGGUAAAAUAUUUAGGAUCUCUCGGACAAUAUGAUCAGCAUUUCGAGUAAGUUAGAUCAUAGUGUCAAUAAAUCACGUAAAUUUAAACACUUUAAACAUUAAAAAAUAAAAUUACAAUAAACGUUGAUUUUCCAAAAACAAAAUGGAAUCCACAGAAAGACCAAGCAGAGUCAUAUUGUUCAUUUACUAGCAGAAGCAACUAUACAGUAUUUAAAUAAUAAAAUUAAGGGGAGUCGUUCAGAGCAGUGCCCUAACCAAAUUAACUUCCCUAAUUACAGAUUAAAUAAUUUCUCGAUUUCGAUUCAAUCAAUGUUUCCGCCUGUUUGUACAUGUUAUCAUGCUCACAUGUCGGAAAUUACGUUUCAUGGAAAUUUAAAAAAAAUGUGUUGGCUGUAAUUAUAACAAGGAGGCGACAACAGUUAUGCGGCUGUAGAAGAAUUAUUGGAAUGUAUGAGUAUAUUUUCUUUGCUAUCAGUGAAUUGAUGGCGAACUUCAGAAUGGUUUUUACAAUAUGUUUCUUCCUUCUAAUUUAUAUCUAUUGAGAAUGUAUAAAAAUGUAAAUAGCAAAAUGAACAAAAACAUCUCAUUCUUUGAUUGACAAAUCUUAAUUUGUUUAUUUUAUUAUUUGUCCUAUUUUAUUCAAUCGAUUAUGAUGAAGUUUCAAUUAAUUAUGAUAGAAGACAUCAAGACUAAAAUUUUCAGAUAAAAAAACGAAUUCGUUCAGGUCAAUUGUGAGAUAUUCCACAUAUUCGUCACUCGAAAAAUUGAAUAUCGAUGAAACUAAUCGUUCCAUUAAGUUCAUUUGCAUUUCGUUGUGGUGAUGAAAGGAAGAUUUCGUCCGAAUUUUACGUUAAUAACUCGAUUUUUCCGGGGGUAGAAGGGCGAAAUGCAUUUUUUUUUUAAACCGAAAAAUGACAAUAACUAUGAGUUCUUCCGGGGUUCACUUUCUAUUUUUUGACAAAUUCCAGUAGAUUCCAUCAUGACGAUGAAGAUGAAAAAAGAAAAAACUGAAUAUCUUGCUUAGUUUUGUAGAUAUUUCCGAAAAACGAAUUACAAACAAAUCCCAAUUUUUCAUAAACGGUUUCACCGAUCGAGCUCAAUCUGGGCCCAAAGUUAGCCUCAACUCUUA